UGCGCGGAGCGUCAGGUCUCGCCGCAGGAAGGCCCCUGAGGGCUGGGGUUGUGCGUCCCUGCCCCUCCCCGUUCGCUCGCCCUGUGGAGCGUGCCACCCCCCGGCCCGGCCGUGGGCAUCGCCCGCCGCCUUCUGCCGGGCUGCGUCCCCGCCGCUGCACAACUGCGCACGCGUGGGACUUAACCUUCCAGAAGCUUCGGUGUUCCCUCAGGUGAAGCCAAGUAACUGUGAACUCCACAUCCACACAUUCUGCAAGCUAAUGAAGUGAUAAACUCGUAGGCUAAGGCAAACUGCAGCCUCAGGAAGCUUUUGAGACCCACAGAUGAAGCCUAGAGUCCUUGCAUUAGCAAUUUCCUGCUGCAUCCACACACCCAGGGACUGAAAACAGCACCCGUUCAUCAUCUCGCCGUGUCUGGAGGCAUGAGGUCUGGGAGCAGCUUACCUAGGUUCUUCACUUAUGAUCUCCAAAAGCUGUGAUCACAGUGUUGGCUAAGUGGUGUUACUGUCUGGAGGCUGACUGGGGAAGAAUUCACUUCCAGGCUGACUCAGUGUGUAAGAGUUUAUCCUAAAGUAAGAAAAGAAGAAGAGAAGUACUUAAUAAAGGAGAAAGAAAUCCAGACAGGCUGCCUCUAAGCAUCCUUUCUGCACAUGGAGGUUGGUGGCCUUGAUCCUCACAGAGAAGAGCUGCCCUUCUUACUAACCUUGUCUCUGGCACCUGGACUGAGUACUACCUGAGACCAGGUUUAUUAGAGGUCUGUCUGAGCAAGGAGGGAGCCACGCACAGCUGCUUACAGUCGUAGGGAAAUAGGAAUUCAGACGAACUAAUGAGAGGAGUCAGAAACAGGCCACUGGAGAUGUCUGCUGGUCACUGAGCUAUAAAUCCUUUCCCCAAUUACUCCCCUCCUGCCAGCUGUGCGCUGUGACCCGGUGCCCAGGAGAUCGUCCAUAUUCAGCAGAUCGUGGGGCAGCAACAGAGAACCAGUGCAGAAGCACUUCUAUGUCUCCGAAGGGGAGGAUUAUGCAGGUCUGAGAAUGACAUGGCUUCUUACAUUGUGCUGAUCUCUUCUUUAUGUGCUUACACUUAACUUUGCUCAGUUUACUAAACAGUUAAUUAUCAUGAAGACAUAAUACUCCAGACUGACUCUGAAAGCAGGGAGUCCGACCACUCAUUAUAUGGGCACAUUGAUCCUGGUUUUCCAUUUUAUUAUAUUCCUGGAUAAUACUCCAUCCAGAACAGCAGUAUGUACUGAUGUACCACACACCAUACAGUACCAUACUUUAUGAAAAUAACAAUUUAUAGCUCUUCAAUAAAUGCAGAGAUUGUUUUCUA